rnacentral:rRNA from 1 species
AACGAACGCUGGCGGCAUGCUUAACACAUGCAAGUCGAACGGGAAGCUUUACUUCGGUAGAGUGGAGAGUGGCGAACGGGUGAGUAACGCGUAGAUAAUCUACCCUGGAGUCUGGGAUAACUCCUCGAAAGAGGGGCUAAUACCGGAUAACAAUUUAGAUCGAGUGUUUUGAAUUUGAAAGUUCCGACGCUCUGGGAUGAGUCUGCGUAACAUUAGCUAGUUGGUGGGGUAAAGGCCUACCAAGGCUACGAUGUUUAGCGGGUCCGAGAGGAUGAUCCGCCACACUGGCACUGAGACACGGGCCAG